ACAGUUUGUUUUGUUACUAACUUUGAGUCGUCAUAACUUGAGUUUUGAUAGAUAUACCAGCACAAUUAUAAAUGCAUUUUGUAGGCCUUUGUAAUGUCUAUCUAAUGGUGUGUUUAAAUCAGUGAUAACCCAGAGAUAGAGAAAGUUCUAUUCUCGGAGAAAAGCCAUGGCCCAACCAAAUCGUAGGAAUUUGGCCUGUUUUAUUACUAACUUUGUGUACAGUAUAAGUACUAGUGUACUAAACAAGCUAAUGUACAGGCAUGAUAUGAUAGUUGCAAUAGCCCCUCUUGUAUUGACUGAGUCCCUGCAUGCAUCCUCUGUGUGUACAGUGUUGUCAGCUGACAUCAAGUGGGUGCCCCUUGUAUUUGACUGAGUACCUGCAUGCAUCCUCUGUGUGUACUGUGUUGUCAGCUGACAAGUGGGUGCCCCUUGUAUUGACUGAGUCCCUGCAUCAUGCAUCCUCUGUGUGUACAGUGUUGUCAGCUGACAUGAAGUGGGUGCCCCUUGGAGACCAGGCCUCAAGACUGGAGGACGUUAGACCAGUACUCGACGAUAUUGUCAUUGCCAAGCUCAGACCCGGUCAGGAGGUGGAUGUUCUCUCCAGUUGCCACAGCUUCAUACCGCCUCCUACCUGAGAUCAUUCUCACUCAACCUGUGACUGGAGCUAAUGCUAAGAAACUGGCAAAGUGUUUUGCAAAGGGUGUGAUCAAGGUAGUGACGAGGGAGGAUGGGAAGUCCCAUGCUGAGGUGGUGGACCCAAGGAAGGACACCUGCAGUAGAGAGGUGCUUAGGCAUGAGGAGCUGAAGGACUGUGUGAGACUGUCUAGAGUUAGGGACCAUUUCAUCUUUUCCGUGGAAUCAUCGGGUGCUUUACCACCGGACACACUGAUGGUGGAGGCAAUAAAGGUUCUCAGAGAGAAGUGCACACACUUCCUGGAGGAACUUAAUGAAUUAACUGGACAGUAAUAAUUAUUAUGUGUUGAGCCUAAAUCAUUCGCGUCUUCUUAUUGAGGUUAUGUGCAAGUGGGAGGGGCUGCUACAUUUUUUGCUAAGUAUAUCGGUUGAGUAUAUCAACCCCCCUCCCACUCACUAGCACAACAAAUUAUUACAUUGUUGGAGAAUGAAAGCUUUGCUGCUCUCUGCUCUAGUGCUGUGCUGUGGUCUACAGGCAGCUCAAUGCUUAUCUUGCGUUUCAGAUGCCUUAUCACGAUCCAGACCAACAGCCAUAAGAGAUGACUUUUGUUUCAGCUCUAUGGUGUACUCUGCCCGGGUAGUCGGUGCAGUGUGUAACUGCGUCAUGGGGUCCACUAACCUGUGUGUUAACUACACCACUCGAGCUGACUCCACGCUGACCGCUGAGGUGAUGACCAUGGGGACGUGUGAGGGUGCCAGCUUUGGUAACUUCGACAUGUGCGCUGAUCUCAGCAGUGCAUUAGCUGUCAACACAGCUAUAAUGAAUGUGUCUGGCCUACCCACUCGGAACUUGACAGCAGAGGCAGAGUUUGGCAGGUGUCCAAACGUGUGCCCAUUCAAUAACGUCACCAAUAACUACGACACUAUGAACAGCCCGUGCCAGUAUACUCUGGAGCUAAUAGAAGUGUUCAAGCCUAUAAACACCACCUUUAGCAAUCCAUUGAUGGCGAAUGGACCUGAUGUUCUCACAUAUGGUAACUAUGGUGGACGUCUGAGUAUUGGAGAGACGUAUCUGGUUGGAGUGGGUGGGGUUUGCAACCCCAUCUCUGCAUGGUCGACUCUAGAUACUUAUUCUGAAAGUGAGCUGAGUCUCCUCCGAGGCCUAAGUGCUGACACGGGGCUGGUGUGUGGGGCUCUGGGUACAAUGCCCUCCAUCGUGACUCUAGUGCUCUCAGUGCUCCUCAUCCUCACAAUGGUGGCUGUCUGAACUUGAACUUGAACACUUUUUUUGUGUCUACUAUAAUUAUACUCUAAGCUAUAGCUUCAUACGACCAUUAAAUUAUUAUAACUGUAAAUUAUAACUCCUAUAACUUAUAAUUAUUGUUGUUUUAUGAUUAAUAAUAUUACUGUAUUAUUAUAG